GACAACUCUGGUACAGUCAUUGGUAAUUUGUGGAUACCAUCCCAAUAGAACUUUUCUUGUUUUGAGGCAAACCAUUCAAAGACCCAAUUUUCCACUUCUUCGUACGUUUUGAAGUGCUGCUCAGAAAGUGCGUGUGCCAUCGAUUGGAACAAGUGGUAAUCUGAAGGAGCAAGGUCUGGAGAAUACAGCGGUUGACCUGGACGUUCUUUGUCUUUCACAUCGAAAUCAUCACUUUUAAAGCGUUUAAACCAGCGUUCACAAGUAUCUUGUGAUGGAGCAUGUUCACCAUAAGCUUCCUGAAAUAUACGAUAAUUUUCAGCAGCACUUUUCUUCAAAAUAAAGUAAUGAAUUAAAACUUCCCGCAAAUGCUCUUUUUUUGGCACGAAAUUUGACACUUUUAAGCAUAAAAAUAUCUAUGAUGUUAACACCUUCAGAAAAUUUGACAUAUGAAGUUUUGAAGCUUGAUGUCAAUAUAA